rnacentral:rRNA from 1 species
UAUUAUACUAAGAAGACGAAUAAUAGACCAGAUUAUUAGUAGAUAUAUUCUUUAAAUUUGAAGAAUUUGGCGGUGAUUUAGUCUUGUCAGAGGAACCUGUUUAUGAAUCGAUACACCACGCAGAAUCUUACUCACUCUUGUUUAUAAUGUGCAGCUUAUAUACCAUCAUUAGUAGAUAAUUUUAAAAGAAGUAAUUAUUAAGUUUUAUAAGGUUAAAUAAAAUUAGAUCAAGGUGUAGCUUAUGGGUGAGUUUAAAUGGGUUACAAUAAAAUUUAUUUAUUACGUAAUAGCUGAAGAAUAGUUGGUUAAAAGGAGGAUUUGAUUGUAAUUUGAGUUCAAUAUGCUUGGAAGAUAUAAGCUCUAAAUCAU